rnacentral:rRNA from 1 species
AGAUUGAACGCUGGCGGCAGGCCUAACACAUGCAAGUCGAGCGGUAGAGAGGUGCUUGCACCUCUUGAGAGCGGCGGACGGGUGAGUAAAGCCUAGGAAUCUGCCUGGUAGUGGGGGAUAACGCUCGGAAACGGACGCUAAUACCGCAUACGUCCUACGGGAGAAAGCAGGGGACCUUCGGGCCUUGCGCUAUCAGAUGAGCCUAGGUCGGAUUAGCUAGUUGGUGAGGUAAUGGCUCACCAAGGCGACGAUCCGUAACUGGUCUGAGAGGAUGAUCAGUCACACUGGAACUGAGACACGGUCCAGACUCCCACGGGAGGCAGCAGUGGGGAAUAUUGGACAAUGGGCGAAAGCCUGAUCCAGCCAUGCCGCGUGUGUGAAGAAGGUCUUCGGAUUGUAAAGCAACUUUAAGUUGGGAAGUAAGGCUAUUAACCUAAUACGUUAGUGUUUUAGACGUUACCGACAGAAUAAGCAACCGGCUAACUCUGUGCCAGCA